GGCAACACUGGUGGACAACAAUGGGAUGUUUUUCUGAAAGCACUUUUGCUUGGUCACUGUAAUGGUUCCUAUGAGACAAGUGCCACAAUGAUGACUAUUGCUACAAACAACACUCAGUAAAGAGAUCGAGGGUUCAACUGGACCCUGGAGAUCACACUUUUUUCUUAUGCUUUCAGGAAGACAGAAUUCUGAUUGCUGUACCUGUGCCUGUUGACUGACCAGCUGUGACUGUCUCCAAAUUUACUGACUCAGAAUGAUACAUAAGCAUGCACUGCCUCAUCCUGCUGUUUAAAAAGACUGCAAGGACUGUAAGGAUGACUUGGUUUCUUACUACAGGAGAAGAAACUAUGUAAAACUAAGCCUGCUAUACCAUGUUUCUGUUACCAGUUCCUGAUGGACAGGCAUUUAAGUGAAGAUUUGACAUUACAGCAGUGUAGAAGACUAAGAUUUAAGAUUUUUGAAUUAAGAAGCUUGAUUUGAACUCCUUGGAAAGUUCAGCACCCAAGACAAUUUGUUAUCUGAGCUGGGAAAAAAGUGCAUGGGAACCCACUGCUCUUCUGAACCUACCAACUGCCUCCUCACUGCUGAUUCUGCAAGGUUUAAUGUGUACUUGCUGCAUUUCCACGUGGAAGCAGAAUUUGAACUCCUUUGGGUUGUACAUCUCACUCCUAGAUUCAUUAGGACAAUGAUUCAAAAGUCCCCUUCUCUGUGAUCCUAUUAGCUUCCAACUUUUGGUGUCUGUUCAGCUGUGCACAAAGAGCUGUUCUCUGAACUGUUUUUCUGAUUAAAGAUUAACAAUGCGAUAAAAGAAGGAAACAUGGGCAUCCUUGGAGUUUGUUUCUUACAUCAGCUGGGUUAAACCUUUACUAUCCUUUCUCACUGUGUAUCUUCUCUCUGUGUUUGGCAAUCAAAUUCUGCACAGCUCUAGCACGUUUCCCCCGUUUAGUCAAAACAACAGGAAAACUUUCUGCCUUUUUAAGCUUUUAACUCUUUGACCCUUGCACAAACAGCAACAGAAACCUUUAAUAACUAACUAAGGGGAGUUGUCUUUAAAACUUUCUUUGCUAUCUCUUGGAUUAAAGAGUAUUCUGUAAAAACAGUGGAAAUCACUGAGGUGUUCUUAACUGCAUAACCACACUAAUUUCUUUUGAAAUGGAAGAAGUAAUGUCCUUCCCAAUAAACAUCCUUCUUCCAAACAGACCCAGGCACGCAGCUCUGCUGUUUGCCACAAGCAGCAAACGGUGCAUUACUGGAUGGCAUGUUUCUAAAUAUAUCAUAGUAUUAGAUGAAACAGUUAA